rnacentral:rRNA from 1 species
UGGCGGCAGGCUUAACACAUGCAAGUCGAACGCUCGUGGCAACACGGGAGUGGCGGACGGGUGAGUAACGCGUGGGAACGUGCCCUGAGGUUGGGAAUAACUGCGGGAAACUGCAGCUAAUACCUGAUGCGCCCCGAGAGGGGGAAAGAUUUAUCGCCUUGGGAGCGGCCCGCGUCGGAUUAGCUAGUUGGUGGGGUAACGGCCUACCAAGGCUUCGAUCCGUAGCUGGUCUGAGAGGACGAUCAGCCACACUGGGACUGAGACACGGCCCAGACUCCUACGGGAGGCAGCAGUGGGGAAUCUUGCGCAAUGGGGGCAACCCUGACGCAGNCAUGCCGCGUGAAUGAUGAAGGCCUUAGGGUUGUAAAGCUC